CGCCACGCGAGUAGGCGGAGCCGAGGCGGGCGGAGGCCGGAGCCGGAAGCGGAAGCGGAGCGGGGAGCGGGGCCUAGCUGCAGCCCGAGCCUAGAAGACGGACCUGCAAGUGAGAAGCCGGCUGGGCCUGUGCUUGGAGAAAAGCUGGCAUCCUUGGCUUGGUUCCUUGGCAUGGCCGUUUUCUACAUUGUGCAGAGCGGAGCCUCUCAAACGUAAGGGUGGUCUUGAGCUUCAAGCUUCUGUAAACAGCCUGUGUGCUGAGGCUUCGGACGGACUGUCAGAGGCCGUGGGGAAUGCCGCUUGAGGGCGGGGAGUGAUAAAGGGCACCCGGCAUUUCCCGAGUUUCUCUUCCCUGGAGUGUUAAAGGAGAGACGGCCUCACUCCCUGCCUGUCUCUGGCACUUUCUGGCUGUCAUUCUGGCCAGCUCCUCUGCAGGCUAGGAGGUGUUAUCUCCGUUUUCCAGACAUGGUACCCGAGGCCUAGAGUGACUUGUGUAAGGUUACAAGGCCAGGAGAUGCCGCCACUGGGAUUUAGUAGUAUUUUUCUGUCAGAACUCUCGCCUCCCAGGUGCUUGGGAAGAGCUUAUGAAAUGUUGUGAAGGCAUCUCCCCCAGUCCUGAAGUAUCACCUGGGGCUGUUUUGUGUUAAUGGAAAAUUGCACCUUUUGUGGGGCCAGACCUAGGGGAGGCAUUUGGCUUAGAGGAAAAACAUAUUUAAUUCCGACAGAACCUCCUAAAAGAUUCCUAAUCCCCUGCUUCAAGAAGAACUGAAGAUUAGUUUAAUAACUGGCCCAAAGGCAAACAGUGAGAAAUGGCUUUGCCAUGAUUUGGGUUGACAUCUGACCCCAGAACUGUGACUUUCCACUCAUGUAAAGGUAUAUGGACAUGGGACGGGGAUUUUGCUCAGUGGUGCCGCUGCCUGCCUUGCUCCCAAACGCAAGGUCCCCCCGGUACCAAAAAAAAGAUACAUGGACAUGGAGUCUUCUAGGUCCCUGGAGGGAGGCUUUGGCCUGCUGCAGCCUGGCUUGUGUCCUGCAGCCUCAGUGUUUAUCUGCCUGGCACACAUGGACAGGAGCACACUUGCCUGGAGGGGAGGUAUGUGUGCCAGUCAGUGGGCAUCCUUGGGGUCAAUUAGUGAGGUGAGAUACAGUACUGCUUUUCAUCCAUAGCUUGGGCACCUGACCCAGGGUAAUUGCAGGAAAACAGGGAGAUGUUAGUCAUCUGAUCAGCAAAACAACAAAUCCAAGCUCUUGGGAAACUUGCUGAUUUUACACAGCAUUUAUCGCCAAGGAUUGGCAGAGAACAGACUUUGCAGGUGUGUGGGGUUGCUGGUGUGGAGGUUGAGG
rnacentral:lncRNA from 1 species